rnacentral:rRNA from 1 species
UACGUAGGGUGCAAGCGUUACUCGGAAUUACUGGGCGUAAAGCGUGCGCAGGCGGUUGUGCAAGACAGAUGUGAAAUCCCCGGGCUCAACCUGGGAAUUGCAUUUGUGACUGCACGGCUAGAGUGUGCCAGAGGGGGGUAGAAUUCCACGUGUAGCAGUGAAAUGCGUAGAUAUGUGGAGGAAUACCGAUGGCGAAGGCAGCCCCCUGGGAUAACACUGACGCUCAUGCACGAAAGCGUGGGGAGCAAACAGG